GAAGCCAGGCAGCAGCAGGGGAAGCAUGUGCUGUGAAUGCUACUACCAGUUACUUUCUCCCUGGAGAGAGAAAAAAAGAAGUCGAUGAUCACUUUUAGCUCAGUCUUUGCCCUAAUCUGAAAAUGUAUUUAAUCUUUUUUUUUUUUUUGUCUUUGUCUUUGAAGAAGGAGGUUGGAGUUGGAUCCCAGAUCACCUACUGAAAGCUAUAGCUGUAGUCACACGGGUUAGUCUGCAGUCUGGAGAGCAGCCUGGCUUCUGCUUGUGAGUCUGGUGGAAGCUCUGGAGAGAAGUCCGUACUGAGGUCCUGACCGUGCCUUCACAUAUGAACAUGAAUUUAAAUCUGCCUCUAUGUCCUCAACUGGUUUCAACAGCACUCUGAGUUGAGGCUGGACAAAUCAAGCUGUCUCCUUCUGUCCUUAGUGUGAUUCCGUGUCACUGUGUGCUGCAGAAGGGCAACGGGAACUGGACAGAUGUCUUGAGGAGUUCUGGUUGCCUGUAGGUUACCUCUCCUUCUACCUUCAGUCUGUACCUCUGCUCAAAUGCUGAGAUCGCAUGGAAACACUCACCGUCAGGAAGUAGAUCUCAGCGCUCUGUGGAAAGAGACAUUCCUUGGGGAGACCUCUGACAGAACUAGUGGAGCAUGCUGUAAUUGUAGCCCUUCAGACCUGGAGGAGGAAACACCAGGGGAUGUCACGAUGACUUUGCUCAGUCACAAGAGAUUCUUUGUAAUCAACGUGUUAAUUGUGUACUUCAGAAGGUGUCAGGCACUCUGCUUCAAGACAAAGCUGAACACGAUUUCUAAGCCAGGUAUCUUUCUAAACCCCAUAUUCCCUCCACUCCUCUAAUGCUAGGGCGCUGGAUGUCAGAGCAACUUGCCUUCUAUAAAAUCACAGACGUGAAAUUCUGCUUGACUGCUCUUGCCUGGGUUAGUAAGUUAGUAAGAAUGGAACUGUUUCACAUUGCUAGGUGCUAAGAAGCAGAAGUUUGGGUCCAAUGUUUGAAAAGAGAAACCUGAAUAUACAUUUCUGCUCAUAGUGUGCUUUCUGACUUGCACUCAGCAAACUUGGUUUAUGGGAGAUUUUUAUUUGCAAGACAGUUUGUUUUAAUGGAAACUCCCAGAAACUCUUCCGCUGGGAGGAUGCUUGCUGUUCUAAAAGUCAUGCAAGAUUUUUCUAUCUAAUCCAUUUGCAAUCUUGUUUGAUUCUUCUUCUUUUCUUUAUAAAACUGAAUAAUUGUUCGUACAUGACAUGAGAUCAUCACACGGUCAUCUCAGUGAUCAAAUUAGCACCAUGAAUAAAAAUGUAAAUUCUAGUUGGAGUGGAAAGUCAAAG
ensembl:lncRNA